rnacentral:rRNA from 5 species
CGACCCCAGGUCAGGCGGGGCCACCCGCCGAGCUUAAGCAUAUCAAUAAGCGGAGGAGGAGAAACUUACGAGGAUUCCCCUAGUAACGGCGAGCGAACCGGGACCAGCCCAGCUUGAGAAUCGGGCGGCUGCGCCGCUCGAAUUGUAGUCUGGGGAAGCGUCCUCAGCGGCGGACCGGGCCCGAGUCCCCUGGAAAGGGGCGCCCGGGAGGGUGAGAGCCCCGUCCGGCCCGGACCCUGCCGCACCACGAGGCGCUGUCGGCGAGUCGGGCUGUUUGGGAAUGCAGCCCCAAUCGGGCGGUAAAUUCCGUCCAAGA